rnacentral:rRNA from 1 species
CUACGGGUGGCAGCAGUGAGGAAUAUUGCACAAUGGGGGGAACCCUGAUGCAGCAACGCCGCGUGGAGGAUGACGCAUUUCGGUGUGUAAACUCCUUUUAUAUGUCAAGAAAAUGACGGUAGCAUAUGAAUAAGCACCGGCUAACUCCGUGCCUGCAGCCGCGGUAAUACGGAGGGUGCAAGCGUUACUCGGAAUCACUGGGCGUAAAGGACGCGUAGGCGGGUUGGAAAGUCAGGUGUGAAAUCCUACAGCUUAACUGUAGAACUGCACUUGAAACUUCUAAUCUAGAGUAUGGGAGGGGGAGAUGGAAUUAGUGGUGUAGGGGUAAAAUCCGUAGAUAUCACUAGGAAUACCUAAAGCGAAGGCGAUCUCCUGGAGCAUUACUGACGCUAAGGCGUGAAAGCGUGGGGAGCAAACAGGAUUAGAUACCCCAGUAGUC